CUGACAAGCAAGGGGUCACACUGCCCCCACUGAUUCCCAUCCAGACCCCCAGUCCAGAAUCCACCCAGACCCCAAGGGAGCCUGCUCCUCUGGCUGCAGCAGCCUGGUACAUCUGAAGGCACCUGGCGAGCAAGGGGUCACAAUGCUCCCUAUGAUACCCAUCCAGACUCCCAGGCCAGGAUCCACCCAGACCCCUAGGCAGACUUUUUCUUCAGUUGCAGUAGCCAGCAGCAGCCUUGUACAUCUGAAGGCACCUAGGGAGCAAGUGGUCACACUGCCCCCACUAAUUCCCAUCCAGACGCCCAUGAUCCACCGAGACUCCUAGGCAGACUGAGCCUUUGGCUGCAGUAGCCAGCACCAGCUUGUUACUUCAGAAGGCACCUGGCGAACAAAGGGUCACAGUGUCCCCACUGAUUCCCAUCUAGAACCCCAGUACAGAAUCCACCCAGACCCGAAGGCAGACUGAGCCUUUUUCUGUAGCAGCCUGGUACAUCCGAAGGCACCUGUAUAGCAUGGGGUGACACUGCCCCUACUGAUUCUCAUCUAGACCCCCAGUCCUGGAUCCACAUCAGACCCCUAGGAAGGUGGAAAGUUCCUCAAUUUUUUUCUUCUUUACUCUCCCCCAUUCUUUUGUAAAUAUCUUCCCCUUCCUCUCUCCAGUGACUGUACCUUUGGCUGCACAAGCUUGGUACAUCCGAAUGCACCUGGCGAGCAAGGGGAAACACUGCCACCACUGAUUCCAAAGGAGAUCCCCUGUCCAUGAUCCACCCAGACCUCUAGGCAGACUUACCUUUGGCUGCAGCAGCCUCUUACACCUGUAGGCAUCAGACUACGCCUUUGGAUUCAGCAGCCUGGUACAUCUGUAGGCACCUGACUGUGCCUUUGGCUAUCACAGCCUGGAACAUCGGAAGGUACCUGUUAAGCAAGAGGGUACACUGCACCCACUGAUUUCCAUCCAGAACUCGAGUCGAGAAUACACCCUGACUCCUUGGCAGCAGCUUGGUAUAUAUCUGAAGGCUCCUGGUGAGACAGGGAGCACACUGCCCCCACUGAUUCCCAUCCAGAACCCCCAGUCCAGGAUCCACCCAGGCCCCUACGCAGACUGUGACUUUGGCUGCAGUAGCCAGCAGCAGCCUGGUUCAUCUGAAGGCACUUGGCGAGCAAGGGGUCACAAUGAUCCCUAUGAUGCCCCUCCAGAAUCCCAGGCCAGGAUCCACCCAGACCCCUAGGCAGAUUGCAUCUUUGGCUGCAGUAGCCAGCAGCAGACUAGUACAUCUGAAGGCACCUGGCGAGCAAGGGGUCACAUAGCACCCACUGAUUCCCAUCCAGACCCCCAAUCCAGGAUCAACCCAGACCCCUAGGCAGACUGCUCCUUUGUCUACAGCAGCCUGGUACAUCUGA